UACCAACCUUUGAAACGAUGAAGUACUUGAACAAAAAAUUGACUAGUCUCUUUUGAUUCAGGUCAAUUAACGGCCACUGAGUUAUUAAAGACAGGUUAGGAUGACAAUUUGAAUAGUCAAUGCUAUUGCUUUAACUGGUUAUCAGCAUAACACCAUAUAAUGUGUCUACUUGCAGGUAGAUUUGCCGUUGUAAUACUUGUUAGUCCAUGUGUCUACGCUUCUUUCAUCUUUCGCUUUUUGCAAAGAAGAAUUCAAAUGAUCACAAAGUCUCCAAAAUUUUCUCACAGAUUGAUAGAUUAAAAUGUGGAACCAGAAUUUUGUUUCCCUGCACAACAAGAAGAAGAAGAAAGAUCAAAAAGAAGAAGAAGAAGAAGAGGAAAAAAUGUAAACAAUUUAGUCAACUUGGAGCUUGCUUCUUCUUCUUGCUUAUGUAUUCAUAGAAAUAAAAAUAGCGGCUUCAUCUCUUCAAAUUUUCAGGCCAACCUUUCGGACCUCACAGUCUCUCUGCCUCAAUACUUUCUCCUUUUCUCUUUCUUUUCAUCAUUUCUCACUCUUUUACCCUAAGGCUAUAGCUAGUGACCUCUCUUUCUGUCUCUCUUGCUCUCUCUCUCUCUUUCUCUCUCUUCAACUUCCAAGGACCUGUGCCCGGCGACCUUUUUUUAACCUUUUCUGUCAACUCUACUUUACCUCAUUAAUAUAACGGGGUUUCCCUGCUCCUUUACUUUCAAUUAUGUACUUUUUUUGCCUCUUUGCCUCACAAACCUUUCUUACUGUUUGUUUAUUUGUUUACAGGUAGAUGUAUUAACAUUGAAAGAGGAUCAGAUAAAUGUGAAAACAAGGAACAAACAAGAAGCCUCACCAGCCAACUAAGUAAACAAAUCUGUCUUCUUCUCCUGCAUCGUCUUCAUCGUUUUCAUCGUCUUUAUCGUCUUCUAGGUCUUUUGCUUUUCCUCUGUCUGGUAUUUCUCAUCUAGACAUGUAUAUUUGAGUCCCUGGGUAACAAGUUUUGUUUUUGACCAAUCUUUCCUUUUUUUUGUGCCAGGUCUGUUUGACCAGGUCAGCUGUGGAUACAGUUGUUCAAGUUUUAUUUACACUUGCACUUGUUCAUACACAACCGUUUACAAUAUUUUUUUCAGCCAUUAUGUGUGAUCAGUUGUUAAUACAACCUUUAAAUAGUUAUUAUACAAAUCAAAGUAAUCAUCUUGUAAAUCUUUUAAGGAAAUAAAUUUAAACACCUAUUUAAACGUUA